rnacentral:rRNA from 1 species
UACAUGGGGUGCAAACGUUGCUCGGAAUUAUUGGGCGUAAAGCGCGCGUAGGCGGUUACUCAAGUCGGAUGUGAAAGCCCUCGGCUUAACUGAGGAAGUGCACCCGAAACUGAGUAGCUAGAGUACCAAAGAGGGUCGCGGAAUUCCCGGUGUAGAGGUGAAAUUCGUAGAUAUCGGGAGGAACACCGGUGGCGAAGGCGGCGACCUGGGUGGAUACUGACGCUGAGGCGCGAAAGCGUGGGUAGCAAACAGG